rnacentral:rRNA from 1 species
GGAAUAUUGGACAAUGGGCGGGAGCCUGAUCCAGCCAUGCCGCGUGCAGGAAGACGGCCCUAUGGGUUGUAAACUGCUUUUACAUGGGAAGAAACACCCCCUCGUGAGGGGGCCUGACGGUACCAUGGGAAUAAGGAUCGGCUCACUCCGUGCCAGCAGCCGCGGUAAUACGGAGGAUCCAAGCGUUAUCCGGAAUCAUUGGGUUUAAAGGGUCCGUAGGUGGGCCGUUAAGUCAGAGGUGAAAUCCUGCAGCUCAACUGUAGAAUUGCCUUUGAUACUGGCGGUCUUGAAUUAUUGUGAAGUGGUUAGAAUAUGUAGUGUAGCGGUGAAAUGCAUAGAUAUUACAUAGAAUACCGAUUGCGAAGGCAGAUCACUAACAGUAUAUUGACACUGAUGGACGAAAGCGUGGGGAGCGAAC